GACGAACGCUGGCGGCGCGCUUAAUACAUGCAAGUCGAGCGAGAACCGGAGCUUCGGCUCCGGGGACAGCGGCGAACGGGUGAGUGACACGUGGGUAACCUGCCCUCGGCACCGGGAUAGCCCGGGGAAACCCGGAUUAAUACCGGAUGGCCCUUUCGGUCUUCGGACCGGUCGGCAAAGGUAGCUUCGGCCUCCGGCCGAGGAUGGGCCCGCGGCGGAUUAGCUUGUUGGUGAGGUAACGGCUCACCAAGGCUCCGAUCCGUAGCUGGUCUGAGAGGACGAUCAGCCACACUGGGACUGAGACACGGCCCAGACUCCUACGGGAGGCAGCAGUAGGGAAUCUUGCGCAAUGGGCGAAAGCCUGACGCAGCGACGCCGCGUGCGGGAAGACGGCCUUCGGGUUGUAAACCGCUUUCAGGAGGGACGAAGCCACUCGGGUGAAUAGCCCAGAGGGUGACGGUACCUCCAGAAGAAGCCCCGGCUAACUACGUGCCAGCCGCCGCAGUAA
rnacentral:rRNA from 1 species